rnacentral:rRNA from 1 species
CAUGCAAGUCGAACGGAAAGGCCUCUUUGGGGGUGCUCGAGUGGCGAACGGGUGAGUAACACGUGGGUGAUCUGCCCUGCACUUUGGGAUAAGCCUGGGAAACUGGGUCUAAUACCGGAUAGGAUUACGAAUCGCAUGGUUUGUGGUGGAAAGCUUUUGCGGUGUGGGAUGGGCCCGCGGCCUAUCAGCUUGUUGGUGGGGUGAUGGCCUACCAAGGCGACGACGGGUAGCCGGCCUGAGAGGGUGUCCGGCCACACUGGGACUGAGAUACGGCCCAGACUCCUACGGGAGGCAGCAGUGGGGAAUAUUGCACAAUGGGCGCAAGCCUGAUGCAGCGACGCCGCGUGAGGGAUGACGGCCUUCGGGUUGUAAACCUCUUCCAACGCCGACGAAGCGGAAGUGACGGUAGGCGGAGAAGAAGCACCGGCCAACUACGUGCCAGCAGCCGCGGUAAUACGUAGGGUGCGAGCGUUGUCCGGAAUUACUGGGCGUAAAGAGCUCGUAGGUGGUUUGUCGCGUUGUUCGUGAAAACUCACA